rnacentral:rRNA from 1 species
CACAUCCUGGGGCUGGAGAAGGCCCCAAGGGUUGGUCUGUUCGCCCAUUAAAGUGGCACGCGAGCUGGGUUCAGACCGUCGUGAGACAGGUCGGUCUCUAUCCGUCGUGGGCGCAGGAGAUUUGAGAGGAGCUCUCCCUAGUACGAGAGGACCGGGAGGGACAGACCUCUGGUUUGCCAGUUGUCCCGCCAGGGGCAUUGCUGGGUAGCUAUGUCUGGAUCGGAUAAGCACUGAAAGCAUCUAAGUGCGAAGCCGACCUCAAGAUGAGAUCUCCCACCGGGUUAACCGGGUAAGACUGCAGCGAGACUAGCUGCUUGAUAGGCGGCAUGUGUAAGCGGAGCAAUCCGUUCAGCUAAGCCGUACUAAUCGGUCGAGGGCUUUUGCCA